ensembl:lncRNA
CGAAAGAACAGCCUUCAGGGACACCAGAAGGCAGAGACCUCUCUAACUAGGAAGGACAUCAGGUUUUCACUUCAGCUUGCUCAGCUAAUGGAUUGAACGUCGAAUCCAAAUAGGCUUGGAUGUUCUGCCUGGUACCCAGCUGGUGGGGCUGUUUGGAGAUCUGAUGGGAACUUUGGGAAGUGAGGUCUGGCUGGAGAAGCCAUAAUGAGCAAGGAAGAAAAUCAAACAGGUUCCUGCAACUCCUCCCAGGAUCCUGAUCGGUCCCUGCACAGCAUUAGAGCUAGGGUGGCUCUAAGAACACCGGUGAGACAGUGAAGAGG